UAUGUAUGACCCUCCGUCCGAAAAUACUUGUCAUCAAAAUAGAUAAAGAUGGAUGUUCUAAAACUAAAAUACGUCUAGAUAAAUCUCUUUUUAUCCAUUUUGAUAACAAAUAUUUCCGGACUGAGGGAGUACGUA
rfam:Triticum aestivum genome assembly, contig: Triticum_aestivum_CS42_TGACv1_scaffold_500050_6BL